CGGGAACAGGGGCCCCCUCAAUCUUCUCGCGGGGCAGAGGUCAAUGACCUUCCCUUCUCCGAGGGAACUGGGACCCCACCGCGGUCGAGAAUCAUGUCCCUUUGUAAAAGUCCACACUUACUGCACGACUACACUCGUGAGACGUCUUCCUCCCCCGGCGGCGGAAGGCAGCAAGAAGCGCGAGGAAAGUGAAAUACCUGGAGGGAGGGGGGAAGGAAGAAGAUGACGACGGGGGACGGUUUUCCGGGGGGAUGAAGAAGCCGGAGGGAGGACGAAGACGACAACGACAACGCCGGUUGGAUGGGGCCUCCCUCCUCGCUGGCUGGAAGACUGACGAACUGACUCCUCUCCGUGCGGAGACGUGUCAGUUACUGCUGCGACGACUAAAAGUUUAGUACAUCCAUCAUCACCAUCAUUACGAAGGUUACGAAAGGAGGAGGAGGUGUACGAAAAAACUUUACAUUUUGAGAAAAAUUCUUCAGCCUCAGCCUCGCUCCUCGUGUUGAGGCGAAGAAUCUCAUCUCGUCCGAUCAAAUGAAUGACAUUCUUGACAUUCUUGUCAAUAUUAUCUUGUGCAUAAUUUAAUAUGACAAUUUACAUGUCUCAACAUUUUGCUACUUAUCCACCACGUGUAGUGUAUGUAUAAAUAAUUAGCAUAUUAUUAGCAAUGUAGGAGAGAAAGUUUGCCCGUUAAAUAAAAGGAAGAAUGAAUUGCAUAAUAAUAAUAA